rnacentral:rRNA from 1 species
CAGCCGCCGCGGGAAUACGGAGGGGGCUAGCGUUGUUCGGAAUUACUGGGCGUAAAGCGCACGUAGGCGGCUUGGUAAGUUAGAGGUGAAAGCCCGGAGCUCAACUCCGGAAUUGCCUUUAAGACUGCCGAGCUAGUAGGUGAGAGAGGUAAGUGGAAUUCCGAGUGUAGAGGUGGAAUUCGUAGAUAUUCGGAAGAACACCAGUGGCGAAGGCGGCUUACUGGCUCAUUCUAGACGCUGAGGUGCGAAAGCGUGGGGAGCAAACAGGAUUAGAUACCCGUGUAGUCCCUGUCUCUUAUAC